GUCUAUGGCCAUAUCACCCCAAGGGCCCAGAUCUUGCCUGACCUCAGAAGCUAAGCAGGUUUAGCCUGGUUAGUACUUGGAUGGGAGACAUGCUAAGCAGGUUUAGCCU
rnacentral:rRNA from 1 species